rnacentral:rRNA from 1 species
UACGGAAGGCAGCAGUGGGGAAUAUUGCACAAUGGGCGCAAGCCUGAUGCAGCCAUGCCGCGUGUAUGAAGAAGGCCUUCGGGUUGUAAAGUACUUUCAGUCGUGAGGAAGGUGUUAAGGUUAAUAACCUUAGCAAUUGACGUUAGCGACAGAAGAAGCACCGGCUAACUCCGUGCCAGCAGCCGCGGUAAUACGGAGGGUGCGAGCGUUAAUCGGAAUUACUGGGCGUAAAGGGCACGCAGGCGGUUAAUUAAGUUGGAUGUGAAAUCCCCGGGCUUAACCUGGGAAUGGCAUUCAAGACUGGUUAGCUAGAGUCUUGUAGAGGGGGUAGAAUUCCAUGUGUAGCGGUGAAAUGCGUAGAGAUGUGGAGGAAUACCGGUAGCGAAGGCGGCCCCUGGACAAAGACUGACGCUCAUGUGCGAAAGCGUGGGGAGCAAACG